rnacentral:rRNA from 1 species
UUAACACAUUUAAACAUUCCNCCCUGGGGAGUUACGGUUGCAAGAUUAAAACUUCAAAGGAAUAGAACGGGGACCCGCNCCAAGUGGUGGAGCAUGUGGUUUAAUUCGAAGAUACGNGAAGAACCUUACCUAGCCUUGACAUUGAUAGAAUNUAAUAGAAAUAUUGGAGUGCCAGUUUUACUGGAGCUUGAAAACAGGUGCUGCACGGCUGUCGUCAGCUCGUGUCGUGAGAUGUUGGGUUAAGUCCCGCAACGAGCGCAACCCUCGUCCUUAGUUACUAACGGUUCGGCCGAGGACUCUAAGGAGACUGCCUUCGUAAGGAGGAGGAAGGUGAGGACGACGUCAAGUCAUCAUGGCCCUUACGGCUAGGGCGACACACGUGCUACAAUGGAUAGGACAAUGAGACGCAAUACCGCGAGGUGGAGCAAAUCUAUAAACCUAUUCUCAGUUCGGAUUGUAGUCUGCAACUCGACUACAUGAAGCUGGAAUCACUAGUAAUCGUAGAUCAGCCAUGCUACGGUGAAUACGUUCCCGGGUCUUGUACUCACCGCCCGUCACACCAUGGGAGUUGAUUUCACCCGAAGCGGGGAAGCUAAACUGGCUACCCUCCACGGUGGAAUCAGCGACUGGGGUGAAGUGGUAACAAGGUAACCAAGGGCGAA